CACGUAGGGGCGAGCGUUGUCCGGAUUUAUUGGGCGUAAAGAGCUCGUAGGCGGUUCGGUAAGUCGGGUGUGAAACCUCCAGGCUCAACCUGGAGUCGCCACUCGAUACUGCUGUGACUAGAGUCCGGUAGGGGAGCGUGGAAUUCCUGGUGUAGCGGUGAAAUGCGCAGAUAUCAGGAGGAACACCAGCGGCGAAGGCGGCGCUCUGGGCCGGAACUGACGCUGAGGAGCGAAAGCGUG
rnacentral:rRNA from 1 species